ensembl:lncRNA
CCGUGAUGUGUUCAGGCAUGAUAUACUUAUGUCUGUUUAUACUAAAGCCUAACUAGCCUAUCUUACUCCACUAGUUGAAGAUGGCACCAACCCAGUCUAACAGAGUCAGUUCUCUUUUCUAAUUCCGGCCAGACUAGAGCAAAAGAGCUGGAAUCAAAGGAGAAAGAGAGAGAAAUGGAAGAGCAAACAAUAGCCUUCUACCCUCCAUUUCCAGCACAAGCUGGAGGCAAACAAAAAGAUGAGAUUGGAGCUCAACUGGUAGAAAAAAAGUCCGUAACUCAAAGGAGAUCAGCUACUUCUGCAGCAGGCCCUAUGCUAAUUACUUUAUAAGUACUCAUUCUUUCAACUUACACCAGCUCUAUGAGUGAGAGAAUUUAAUGAAGUUACUACAUUCUUAGGAAUUUUAUUUACAACCAGUAAAUCAGAUUAAAAAGUAGAGAGAAAGAAAUGAAGACUACCAGAAACCUCUUCGAGGAAAGGGCAUAUUUAUCUAGUUCAUCAUGUAUCCCAGGCAGGAAGCCUAGCACCCAGUGAAAACCACCACCCAGGAAAUCACAGUUUUGGUGUCUCUGUGGCCAUCAUGGCUCAGUUGUGAUGGCAAACUGCGGUGUCCAGGAUGCCUGGUGCAUAGCAGCAGAAGUGACUUGG